rnacentral:rRNA from 1 species
UGUGGGGACGGAGAAGGUUAACUCAGCCGGGUGUUGGAUGUCCCGGUUCAAGCCUGUAGUCGUGGUCUUCAGGAAAAUCCGGAGAUCUUAGAUGAGGGGUGAUAACGAGGCGGCUUGCCGCCGAAGUGAGUGAUACCCUGCUUCCAGGAAAAGCCACUAAGCUUCAGCUGCACACGACCGUACCGCAAACCGACACUGGUGCGCGAGAUGAGUAUUCUAAGGCGCUUGAGAGAACUCUGGAGAAGGAACUCGGCAAAUUGACACCGUAACUUCGGAAGAAGGUGUGCCUUUAGUAGGUGAUCCUGUACAAGGGGAGCCCAAUGAGGUUGCAAAAAAUCGGUGGCUGCGACUGUUUAAUAAAAACACAGCACUCUGCAAAGACGAAAGUCGACGUAUAGGGUGUGACGCCUGCCCGGUGCUGGAAGAUUAAAUGAUGGGGUGCAAGCUCUUGAUUGAAGUCCCAGUAAACGGCGGCCGUAACGAUAACGGUCCUAAGGUAGCGAAAUUCCUUGUCGGGUAAGUUCCGACCUGCACGGAUGGCGUAACGAUGGCCACACUGUCUCCUCCAGAGACUCAGCGAAGUUGAAAUGUUUGUGAUGAUGCAAUCUCCCCGCGGAAAGACGGAAAGACCCCAUGAACCUUUACUGUAGCUUUACAUUGGACUUCGAACAGAUCUGUGUAGGAUAGGUGGGAGGCUUUGAAGCCGGGACGCUAGUUCUGGUGGAGCCAACGUUGAAAUACCACCCUGGUGUGUUUGAGGUUCUAACCUUGGCCCGUAAUCCGGGUUGGGGACAGUGUAUGGUAGGCAGUUUGACUGGGGCGGUCUCCUCCCAAAGCGUAACGGAGGAGUUCGAAGGUACGCUAGGCACGGUCGGAAAUCGUGCUCAUAGUGCAUUGGCAUAAGCGUGCUUGACUGCGAGACUGACAAGUCGAGCAGGUACGAAAGUAGGACAAAGUGAUCCGGUGGUUCUGUAUGGAAGGGCCAUCGCUCAACGGAUAAAAGGUACUCUGGGAUAACAGGCUGAUACCGCCCGAGAGUUCAUAUCGACGGCGGUGUUUGGCACCUCGAUGUCGGCUCAUCUCAUCCUGGGGCUGUAGCCGGUCCCAAGGGUAUGGCUGUUCGCCAUUUAAAGAGGUACGUGAGCUGGGUUUAAAACGUCGUGAGACAGUUUGGUCCCUAUCUUCCGUGGGCGCUGCAAGAUUGAGAGAGCCUGCUCCUAGUACGAGAGGACCGGAGUGGACGCACCUCUGGUGUAUCGGUUGUCACGCCAGUGGCAUUGCCGAGUAGCUAAGUGCGGAAGAGAUAACCGCUGAAAGCAUCUAAGCGGGAAACUCGUCUCAAGAUGAGUCUUGCCGGGGCCUUGAGCCCCCUGAAGAGUCGUUCGAGACCAUGACGUUGAUAGGCUGGGUGUGGAAGCGCAGUAAUGCGUUAAGCUAACCAGUACUAAUUGCUCGUGAGGCUUGACCCU